rnacentral:lncRNA from 1 species
UGGGUGUAGUCGCUCUCCAGCUGCGCCCACACGUCGGGCGCCAGGAGCCGGAGGCAGCGGCUCCGCGGGCAGAGCCAGGACUAGUGGAGCACAGUUUCAUGUCUCUGGAUGAUGCAGCAACCUGAGGGCAGAAGACCACCCCACUGGGCGGCCCCCACCAACAGGCUCAGCCAGGCAGACUGGACAGGGGAGGGGCGGAUGCUCCUGGGGAAGAGCCGCAGUCACCAUGGACACUGCCUCAACGCAGACCCUCCAAGGGGCUUCCACCUGGACUGUCGCUGCAUCCUGACUCCGUGUCCUCUCUUCCGUCCCCUCGGCCUGAGCAGCUGCUGCACCUAGCACUCUGAGGAGCACAGACGGCAUUGGCCCUGGGGCCUGUCUGACAGCACCCUGCAUAGUGACAUCCGCUAGAGAGCCCUGAUACAGAAUCAAGUAAACGGUAG